UUCCUACGGGAGGCAGCAGUAGGGAAUCUUCCACAAUGGACGAAAGUCUGAUGGAGCAACGCCGCGUGAGUGAAGAAGGGUUUCGGCUCGUAAAGCUCUGUUGGUAGGGAAGAAAGAUAGAGGUAGUAACUGGCCUUUAUUUGACGGUAAUUACUUAGAAAGUCACGGCUAACUACGUGCCAGCAGCCGCGGUAAUACGUAGGUGGCAAGCGUUGUCCGGAUUUAUUGGGGGGAAAGCGAGUGAAGGCGGGUCAAUAAGUCU
rnacentral:rRNA from 1 species